rnacentral:lncRNA from 1 species
CCCGAAGUGAACAUUGGCCUACAGACCAGACUGCCAUGGUUAUAGGUUGAUAUUUAUGGUCUGAUUGACCCCAGCAUAAAGAGCUUCUAUGAAAAUAAAUCUCCUGUCUCAAACUUGCCAUGGCAAACUCUCUACAUUUUCUACUUUAGACUUGAAAAAACUCUGAGAACACAUCCUUGACCAUGGUAAUGGACUAUCAGAGAGGAAAAAUACUUUGCCAUUCUUCAGGACUGAUGAACUUAUGUAGGCCCAGGCUACACAGGAGUCCAGCUGCUCAUAGAUGACCUUUGGCUAAUCUUGUGCAGGAAUUUUCUAGAUAAAAACCUAAUCCCAUGCAAGUCACUACUCUGUCAAAGCCACAAAAGCAAAUGUGCUCCUGCAGCUCGGAGUCCAGCAUCUUUAUAUUGAUCACAGAUGAAGUUUGACUUGAGCCAGUAAGUCCACCAUGGUUCAGUGACUGCAUUUCACAGCUCUUGUUCAACUUCUGCCAUAUCAGCCACAGCAGCAACAGAGAACACUGGAGAAUUGGGGUGGCAUUAAUGUCAAGUGAAAACGUCUGUAUG